AGGGAGUCGUGAGUCCAGUUCGAGGAGCUGUUAAGACUGUCUUGGAUCUAGCUGGAAAUACUGUUGACCGUCUACUGGGGAAAUGAUCUGUGGACUAAGAAUUAUGAAUUAAUAACUCAAACACUGACGAAACCGGAUUGGCUGACUUCGAUGACGACACCUGCCAUUAUGCUUCCUGUGCUCCUGCUUCACAACUCUCUCACCAAUCAAAUGCUGACUGAAAAUCAUGAAUCAUACUGA